rnacentral:rRNA from 1 species
CCCGGCGAGGGGAGUGAAAAAGAACCUGAAACCGUGUACGUACAAGCAGUGGGAGCACCCUUUGGGGUGUGACUGCGUACCUUUUGUAUAAUGGGUCAGCGACUUAUAUUCUGUAGCAAGGUUAACCGAAUAGGGGAGCCGGAGGGAAACCGAGUCUUAAUUGGGCGUUAAGUUGCAGGGUAUAGACCCGAAACCCGGUGAUCUAGCCAUGGGCAGGUUGAAGGUUGGGUAACACUAACUGGAGGACCGAACCGACUAAUGUUGAAAAAUUAGCGGAUGACCUGUGGCUGGGGGUGAAAGGCCAAUCAAACCGGGAGAUAGCUGGUUCUCCCCGAAAGCUAUUUAGGUAGCGCCUCGUGAAUUCAUCUCCGGGGGUAGAGCACUGUUUCGGCUAGGGGGCCAUCCCGGCUUACCAACCCGAUGCAAACUGCGAAUACCGGAGAAUGUUAUCACGGGAGACACACGGCGGGUGCUAACGUCCGUCGUGAAGAGGGAAACAACCCAGACCGCCAGCUAAGGUCCCAAAGUCAUGGUUAAGUGGGAAACGAUGUGGGAAGGCCCAGACAGCCAGGAUGUUGGCUUAGAAGCAGCCAUCAUUUAAAGAAAGCGUAAUAGCUCACUGGUCGAGUCGGCCUGCGCG